UCCUCCGCCCUAAUGCGCCUGCAGUACCCAAGGUUUCUAUGUUGCUCUGAAUGCCCCAACUCUCCUAGCUCUAUGUUGCGAUCCCCCUCCUCGUUAAGUAAGUCUCGAAAGUACGCCAGCCACCUCAGCUUGACUUGAGACUCCCCCAUCAGAACUCUACCAUCCUCGCCCUUGAUACACCUAACUUGGUCAAGAUCACGCGCCUUUCUUUACCUUGCUUUAGCUAACCGGAAUAACUUCAUAUCCCCGCCUUUCUCCCCUAAUUCCUCGUACAUGCGACCAAAUGCCGCAUUUUUUGCUUCUGUAACCGCCAUCUUUGCUUCUUUCCGCGCCGCCUUGUAGAUCUCUAUGUUCGCUCUUCGUUCAUCCUCGCUCGUGCUCCCUGCCAUCUUAGCAAACUCCGCCUUCUUCACCUCCACUUUUCCUUGGACUACAUCGUUCCACCACCAGUCACCCU
rnacentral:lncRNA from 1 species